rnacentral:rRNA from 1 species
UGAGGCAGCAGCAAGGAAUCUUGGGCAAUGGGCGAAAGCCUGACCCAGCAACGCCGCGUGAGGGAUGAAGGCUUUCGGGUUGUAAACCUCUUUUCAUAGGGAAGAAUAAUGACGGUACCUGUGGAAUAAGCUUCGGCUAACUACGUGCCAGCAGCCGCGGUAAUACGUAGGAAGCAAGCGUUAUCCGGAUUUAUUGGGCGUAAAGUGAGCGUAGGUGGUCUUUCAAGUUGGAUGUGAAAUUUCCCGGCUUAACCGGGACGAGUCAUUCAAUACUGUUGGACUAGAGUACAGCAGGAGAAAACGGAAUUCCCGGUGUAGUGGUAAAAUGCGUAGAUAUCGGGAGGAACACCAGAGGCGAAGGCGGUUUUCUAGGUUGUCACUGACACUGAGGCUCGAAAGCGUGGGGAGCGAACAGAAUUAGAUACUCUGGUAGUCCACGCCUUAAACUAUGGACACUAGGUAUAGGGAGUAUCGACCCUCUCUGUGCCGAAGCUAACGCUUU